rnacentral:rRNA from 1 species
GAUGAACGCUGGCGGCGUGCCUAAUACAUGCAAGUAGAACGCUGAAGGAAGGAGCUUGCUCUUUCCGGAUGAGUUGCGAACGGGUGAGUAACGCGUAGGUAACCUGCCUGGUAGCGGGGGAUAACUAUUGGAAACGAUAGCUAAUACCGCAUAACAGUAGAUGUUGCAUGAUAUCUACUUAAAAGGUGCAAUUGCACCACUACCAGAUGGACCUGCGUUGUAUUAGCUAGUUGGUGAGGUAACGGCUCACCAAGGCGACGAUACAUAGCCGACCUGAGAGGGGGAUCGGCCACACUGGGACUGAGACACGGCCCAGACUCCUACGGGAGGCAGCAGUAGGGAAUCUUCGGCAAUGGACGGAAGUCUGACCGAGCAACGCCGCGGGAGGGAAGAAGGGUUUCGGAUCGUAAAGCUCUGUUGUAAGAGAAGAACGAGUGUGAGAGUGGAAAGUUCACACUGUGACGGUAUCUUACCAGAAAGGGACGGCUAACUACGUG